ensembl:lncRNA
GUCAGGAAUGCUGAGAGUGAAGGCAGCCCUGCAUAUGACUUUCCCUUUGGGGAAUUUGCUGAACUCUCGUGAUAUUUGGCUUGUCCGUUUGUUUUUACUUUCUACUGGCGUAUAGCCAGCCGGUGAGGAAGACUGUGAUAGUUCCAGGUGAACAGCAGACGCACUGAGCCAUGCAUUCGCAUGUGUCCAUUCUCCUCCGAACUCUCCUCCCACCCAGGCUGCCAGAUAACACGGAGCACAGUUUCCUGCGUUAGACGGUUCCCCUGGAUCCUGCGGGGGCUGGACUCCAGCGUGUGUCUUCCGACAGAGCCUAGGAAACCACCAGUCUUCACCAUGGUCCGCUGGAGGGAGAAAGGAGGAACAGCUCACGCGCCCAACUCCUCCUGCCUGUCCGUGUUCACUAGUGCAGAAUCCUCUGUAUUUCUGGGUUGUGUUCUCCAGCAUCCUCUGACCAACUACUGGCGGAGCCAUGGCCCACAUCUGGUGGCUUGGGGCUUCACUUGAGUUCAAAAGUGAGGAAGGAGCCAAAGUCUUUUCGGAUUCAGUCAUGUUUAUUAUUUUUUUAAAAUAUGUAUUUAUCUGCUUCCGGCUGUCCCAGGUCUUUGUAGCUGCUCUUGGACUUUCUCUAGCUGCGGUAGGUGGGAGCGGCUCUCCAGCUGUGGCGCCUGAGUUUCUCUCCCUGUGCUCACCAGCUCUAGAGUUCACGGGCUCAGCAGCUGUGGUCACGGGCUCAGUUGUCCCACGGCCUGUGACAUCUUCCUGGACCAGUGACUGAACCCAGGUCCCCUGCAUUGGCAGGUGGAGUCUUAAAUGCUGGACCACAGAGAAGUCCUUCACAGUGUUUAGAGUCUCCAGACACAAUAGGGUAUUCAGUCAAAUUCGGAUGUCAUUUAUUGUUUUUUAAGUAAUUUAUUUAUCUGGCCACGUGGCUUGUGGGAUCUUCAUUCCCCGACCAGAGAUCGAAGCCCACCCAGGCUUAUGGCAGUGAAAGCACCAGGUCUUAACCCCUGGACUGCCAGUGAACUCCCAAAUUUGAAUGUGAGACAAAUAGUGAAUGUUUUCCUUAGUAUAAGUAUGCCCCCAAUGUUGCACAAGACAAACGUCUACUAAAAAAUUACUUGUUGUUUUCCUGAAAUUUAAAUGCAAUUGGACAUCUUGUAUUUUCAUCUGCUAAGUCAUGCAACCUUCCUCUCGUGGGGCGGGUGGAGGCCACGGCAGAGUCUGGACCCCCUCCUGGGAGAGGUCGAGUGCCCGUACAGGUGAUGGAUUGGACGGCCACUCAGCACUCUUCACAGGGGAAGCAGUGGAGGGCUGGGGUGGCUGAUGCAGCUGGAGAUAUCUAGAGAGGCAAUAAAUUCACCUGGUACAACCUAAGCCUGUGGGUUCCGGAGGCCUUUAGAAGGAAAUCACAUUUAAACUGAAAUAUUAAGGACCGGCAAGAAUCCGCCUGGAUAAUUUGUGGAGUAGUUCCAUCUGAAUAAACAGCAUCCACUGUCCAUCCAGUCCAUCCUAAAGGAGAUCAGUCCUGGGUGUUCACUGGAAGGACUGAUGCUGAAGCUGAAACUCCAAUAUUUUGGCCACCUCAUGCGAAGAACUGACUCACUGGAAAAACCCUGAUGCUGGGAGAGAUUGGGGGCAGGAGGAGAAGGGGACGACAGAGGAUGAGAUGGUUGGAUGGCAUCACCGACUCAGAGGACUUGAGUUUGAGUAAACUCUGGGAGUUGGUGAUGGACAGGGAGGCCUGGCGUGCUGCAGUCCAUGGGGUUGCAAAGAGUCGGACAUGGUUGAGUGACUGAACUGAGUUGAACUGAAGCUCACCAAGUACCCUAUCCAUCCUGAUGCUUGCCCUGGAAAUCCCUGAAAUUCCCCACAAUCAAGGGAUGAAGGAAGCUUCUAGGACUCUUGCAUUGAGCAUAGCCUGUAUCCAUCCUCAUUUUGUCAUUUAAACAGGAUAGAAAUAGUCACCCCCUCCAGGACCUCCAGGCUGGCGAGUAUGUAAAUCAGCCACCUUCUCUCGCUUGCAUCUGGAAUAUAGCAUUGCUGCCAAGAUGGCCGCAGCACAGAAGUGCGACCUCAGCCACAGAGGUCACAAAGACAGUUUGGGCUCAGCUGAAGCAACAGCUUUUUAAGAAUCAGAGCCGUCCAGAGACAGUAGGUAGGGAGCCACCCUGCCAUGGAACAUCCAAGCCAAGGGAGGAUGGCCAGUUUGCAAGACAGUCCGGGAGGACGCUGAAGCCUUGGGCUGAGAGCGCCUGUCCCUUCCAAUCAUGAGACUCCAUAAUUCUUGUUUCUAAAUUAGAUGUCAGUAAGCUAUGGAGCCCAGGAAAAACCCAGCGUCCGCCUCUUUCUGUAGAGACUUAUUGGAACACAGGCAUGCUAUACAGUUAGUAUCAUCCACACGUAGCUCGCACUCUGAUGGCAGAGUUGAGCACUCAUCACAGACGCUGUUUGGCUGCAAAGCCUAAGACAUUCACUAGCUGGUGGCCAAUUAUAGGAAAAGCUUGUGAACGUCGUUCUAAGAGACUCCUGGGAUGAAGCCUUUGAUAAAGCCUCCAAUUAUCUCCGACCUACCUGUGCCGUUUAUCUGUAUGGCAAGGCUGCUAGACUGCUUUCCUUAAAGAUACGCGUGUGUUUGUUCAGGAUAUUAACAAAAAAUAUUCAGGGGCUCCCUCUGAGUCAGUGUAACUUCCCGACCAGUGCUAUCAAAUGGAUCGAGAGAAAAAAAGGCUCCUGAGGUGCUCCAACAUGGCUUUCCUUCCCUCCCCUCCUGCGAGAGUUGAGCUGCAGAGUCAGCGUGAAGACUGCAGCAACAAGCUCGGCAGAGCUGAAAGCUGAUACACACGGAGCUCCUAGCUGGGUUGUGCAGAGCUUUACAUGGAGAGUUUCAGUCAAUCCUCUUAACAACUUCAUCUACUGCUUAGAAGGACGUCACAGUUGAGGACAUGGAGGCUUAGGGAGACUCCAGAACUUGCCCUGAGUCACCUAUGGAGGCAGGAUGCUGCUUCUAUUUCAAUGCUGAAACCUCUAUUUCGUAUAUACAUAUGUCAGUCUAGCUGUUGAGAUAUUUUGAGUGACUGUACAAAGCACAACAAAGUCUAGAGACUGAAUAGACUCACAGCCCAGCCCAUGCGCUUAAUCUCAUAUUUAGAUCACAGAAAAGUAGUCACGACAAUGGGAAUAUUUCAUUGGAAGAUCCAAAGCUCCCGAUUCUGCAUAAUUCCACGAUGGCAGAACCACCUCCCCUAACUCACUUGUUUUCAUGGUUAUUUCAAACAGAAAGAAAAAUGGUGGCGAUUUUCACUUCAUCUCUGCUCGACGUCUGUCUGAAGACCCUGCAGCUAAAGAGGGAAGGACUGAAUACUAGAUGGGGUUUGUAUUAUCCAAAAAUAAAACAAAUACAGAAAUAUGGACUCCUGCCAGCAGUUAACCCAGAGCGGCCAGAUGCCACCCAGUCACUUCUUUUGGUCAAAUCUUCCUCCAAGAGGGAAUUACAUGACAGGAAAGACUCUGGGACUAAGAAACAAGAGCGUGAGAGGAAUCCCAGGUGUUUCUGACCCUGCGGUGGACAAGCUCUCUGUUUGUCUUCAGCUGAAUGCGAAUGCAAGAGGCGCUCUUCAUAUUAGACUGGUGUUAUUAGGAAACCUGAAAACUGAUCGGAGAGGGAGUAAGGCUGGUCUUAACUGCUCAGUCCAGUGGAGCUUAGCUUCAGUUCAGUUCAGUUUAGUUCAGUUCAGUCGCUCAGUCGUGUCUGACUCUUUGCAACCUCAUGGCUGCAGCAGGCCAGGCCUCCCUGUCCAUCACCAACACCCGGAGUUUACUCAAACUCGUGUCCAUUGAGUCAGUGAUGCCAUCCAACCAUCUCAUCCUCCGUCGUCCCCUUCUCCCGCCUUCAAUUUUUCCCAGCAUCCGGGUCUUUUCAAAUGAGUCAGUUCUUCGCAGCAGGUGGCCAAAGUAUUGGAGCUUCAGCUUCAGCAUCAGUCCUUCCAGUGAAUAUUCAGGACUGAUUUCCUUUAGGAUGGACUGGUUGGAUCCUUAGCUUGGAUCUUAGCUUGGAGGGUAGAAAAAAAGGAAGGAGUGAUUCCCAGGGCUCAUCUGGUCAGCUAGACUCUUAAAAGAGCGUUAAGUUUGACCUUGGCUACUCCAAAAAUGGCAUGUACAAAGGGUACUGAUGAAUAGAUGCUCAGUAAAUGCUUGCUUAAGGGGCGGAUGAAAUAGGUUUCCUGUAGAACAUCCUAGGGAACUGUACUGAAAAUGAUACUUGAGGCAGCUUCAGAUCUCAGUGGAAAUUAAUGCUGCGAUUGAUGAGUGGUGAUUGCUGUGACUGUGUCGUAGGGAAUGGGUAUCCUAAAGACGAAAUCUCUGACACAGUAUGACUUCCUUUUUCUUUAGGGCAGUGGAAGUAUCACUUUAAAUCACAGACUUGUGUCCUCCAAACCUAAAUAUGGACACAGCAAAGAGGAAAAAAAAAACCCAGCAAAAAAGGAAAAGUUGAUAAGGAUAAAAAGAAUUAGGAAAAAAUGUGAGGGGCACGUGUUGAUAGAGAAAAGAAAUGAAAUGACCACAGUUGCCACUUUCUGGUAUAUCCAGUGGGAUCUGCAGAAUUUCACACGGGUCUCCUGUUUUUACCCUCAAGAUGAAAAAGAAUCAAGAAACCACUGUGGUCAGGACACAAACAGUCCUGCUGGGAAGAAUAGUCUCUGAGGAGAAGGAGCUGACAAAGCAAGGAUCAAAACACCAGCUUAGCCAUCAACUGCUCAGAAAAGAAAACAGUCACGUUGUGACAAAUUCCUCCUGGAUUUCCCAGAAACAGGUUUACUCCAGAGUCUUUAGAAGUCACAGACCUUUGAUCCAUUUAGACUAUUUGGCUUUCAGAUUUCAGACUCCUGAUACAUCCAUAGAUUUCUGCUAAACUAAGAAAGGGGGCCGCCACUCCAAAUGCAGCCAAAUGUUUGUCUCUAUUUCAGAUUGCAAGUGAAAUGCAGAAACAGGGAACACCUGGAUCGGCUCCAAGCCCACACAGAACUGAACCUCAGACACUGAGUCAUGGCGUGGCUAUGCAUAAGCUGGUGUCAGAAAGCACGUGUUCACACUGAGAAAGAAAGCGGACCUGGGACUUCCCUCUUGCCUCAUUUUGGAGGAAGUGAAACCACUCUGCUGCAAAGCAGGUGCCCGACUUUUGUAGAAAAGUUGCCUUUUUCUUUUUAGAAACUAAAGUUGGGCUUUUAGGCACAAGCCCUUGAGAGCAGCCUUCUGGAGAGUUUAUGGAGGUGCCUGGGCCUUUCAAUACAAGCAAAAGUGGAAGCAAUCACUGGUGAGCAGAGCAAAGCAAGAAAGGAAUGGGUGAAAUGCUCUGGUCAGGCUCUGGAGGUCGCCUCCUCCCACCUGACCACGAUGAGCAGCGAUUCCUGCUGGUGGCCUGCAAGCUUCGGUUGAGCCGAAAUUCCCAGAUUAGCCCUUCUUCUUUCAUUGCUUCUCCGUAAAUUGAAAAGAGAACUUCCUUGAGCGUAGCAGACACAGUCAUAGGCUUCGGAUCAUCUCAGGUGUAUGGAAAUUCCGGAACUACUUCGUUUCUUUUGGUUUUUAAAUGUACAUUUGUUGCUUAGUUUUCUGAAUAUGAAAGUAAUGAUUACUCCUCAUGUUUGGGACUUGGUAGAUUCUCAAUAAAGUUUUAUUAUAUGAGUGAAAACAUGCUCAUUGUUGAAAGCUCAAAAUAUGUAGAAGAGUGGAAAGAAGUAAAUAAUUCAUGAAACCUACCUACUAGAUAUAACUACUGUCAAUGGGUCAGUUGGUGUAUAGUCCUCACUAUAUUUGUACAUAGUUGAGAUCAUAUUGAAUGCUAAACAUUAUGGCAUAAGAAUUUCUUAUGUUAUUAAAACUGUUUGAAAAUAUAAUUAUGAUGGCUACAAAAUGUUUUGUCAUAUGAAGGCGAUGUAAUUUCACUCUUUUGGGCUCUUUUAGCUAUUUCAUUUUUUUCUUUUUGCUAUAAUAAAAAUGAAGAUGGAGGUGGUCCAGAAGUAAAUGACAACGACUAGGUGUUUAGAGAUAAUAGGAACGCCCAGAUGUAAUCUAUAUUCACCUUACUUGUAUUCUCAUUGAAGAAGAGUGAGAUUCCAGCAGGAUCUAUUACAGCCAAAAGGAAAAAUAAGAAAUUGUCAGCAUGUCUUCAAAACAGGGUAAGUGAGUUUUCUGAUUCUGAUGAACUAGCCUUGAAAUAGUUUGAGGAAAAGUAUAUGGAUAUUUCAGCAAACUUAUUGGAAGUACUCAAGGGCAUUCGGUUCUAACUUUUCUAAUUCUAAAUCUGUGAUCACUCUGCUGCUGCUGCUAAGUCGCUUCAGUCGUGUCCGACCCUGUGUGACCCCACAGACAGCAGCCCACCAGGCUCCCCCACUGAGCGAUCAAUUUAUAACCUGGGCAGAAGCUUGCUUCUCUAGUCAAGUAGAAGCCGGGUGCCUGUUCGCUCAGGUGCUCUUUGUGACCCCAUGGACUGUAGCCCUCCAGAUUUCUCUGUCCAUGAAAAUUUCCAGGCAAGAGUACUGGAGUGGGUUGCCAUUUCCUCCUUCAGGGGAUCUUCGUGACCCAGGGAUUGAACCCACAUCUCCUGUGUCUCCUGCACUGGCAGGCAGGUUCUUCACCAAUGAGCCACCUGGGAAGCCCAGAAACUGGUUCAUAAACUAAACCCUUAAAAGACACUUACUCCUUGGAAAGAAAGUUAGGACCAACCUAGACAUAUUGAAAAGCACAGACAUUACUUUGCCAACAAAGGUCCAUCUAGUCAAGGCUAUGGUUUUUCCAGUGGUCAUGUAUGGAUGUGAGAGUUUGACUGUGAAGAAAGCUGAGCAAUGAAGAAUUGAUGCUUUUGAACUGUGGUGUUGGAGAAGACUCUCGAGAGUCCCUUGGACUGCAAGGAGAUCCAACCAGUCCAUCCUAAAGGAGAUGGGUCCUGGAUGUUCAUUGGAAGGACUGAUGCUGAAGCUGAAACUCCAAUACUUUGGCCACCUGAUGCGAAGAGGUGACUCAUUGGAAAAGACUCUGAUGGUGGGAAAGAUUGAAGGCAGGAGGAGAAGGGGAUGACAGAAGAUGAGAUGGCUGGAUGGCAUCACUGACUCGAUGCAUGUCCCUCGCAUCAGUGAAAUCAAGCAGCAUUUGUCUUCAUCUGGUGUAUAUCGGAGCGCGCUCCUAAGGUUGGCUGGUGUCUGUCCUGCAAACGGCCUGCAUGUAUCUUCCCUUGUUCCCUGCUCUCUUCAGCUGGUUCCCUAGCGAUCUACCUGACGCACGCACGUG